ACUUGUGGGUGCUAACAUUAAGCAUGGCCCAGAGGCACACAGACAGGCAGGAAACAGGGGAAGCAGAACUCAGGAAAAGAUGACAUUUCAGGACUGAUGAAAAAUAUUCUGGAAUAUCUGAGGAUUUAACCCCAGUGCUUGUUACUCAUUUGAAUGAACACUCCAGGAGGUUCAAAAGGGUUUCUCUGCAUAGAGACUGAAACAGAGUAUCCUGACUUCUUGGUGUCGUCUGCCAGCAAUUUUUCCCACUCCUUAAUACAGAGUUCUCAAGGCAUGGUGCCUUGCCCAGUAGCAGAGGUGGCAUUUGGGAAGCUGUUAGAAAUGCAAAUGACCAGACAGUCCCAGACCACAGAAUAAUCAAUCUAUGUUUUAAUAAGCCUUACGGUGGUUCUGAUGUGUGCUAAAUUUGAGAAUUUGAGAAUUACUGCUCUAAUAAGAGGCAGCAUUUUCUCUUUUCCUUUUCAUUCUUGAUAUACUUCCCUAUUUCCUUAGGUAAUACAUUAAAAGACUAUGUGAUUGUUUCUCUGUAAAUCUUUUGAAAAUGGAGUUCUGUUUUCUGCAUUGACUUUUCUUAUUCUGGCUCUGAGAGACCUAUUAAAUUCUCCUCUCCUUUAUUGAAUGGCUUUCUUUUUUCUUUCUUUGGCUUUACCACAGAGUAAGUUUAUCACCUGGCAUGAAUUAAAUGAAAUGCAACCUAAUAGGUGGCUGAUGAAUAUUUUUACAAAACUCUGGAGUCUUGCUACUCCAAGUGUGGCCCUGAUUCAGCAGGACAAUAUCAGUGUUACUGGGGACUGGCUGGUUCUGUAAAGUCUCCAGUCCCAGCUCCACUGACUGAGGAUCUGCACUCUAAGGGUCCCCAGCUCUGCCGUAUUCCUCAUUGGCUUCCUAGGCCAGCCUGCCUCUGUAGCCAGAAAAAGAUGGAAGAAGAAGAAAGACAUGGGCCAUUGGCUGAGGGGGAUUGUUUAAUGGUCCAGCCUGGAAUGGCAUGCAUUCACAUUCUACUGGCUUGAACUUCAAGGGAGGCUGAGAAAUAUGGCCAAUCCCCAGAAAGAAGAGGAAACAAGUUUGGUGAACAUGUCUCUACCAAACUACCUGCCUGAAUUCAUGCAAGUAACUUAUCCUUGCUGAUUUCAGUUUCCUCAUCUAUAAAAUGGGAAUAAUUAUACCUGCAUCAUCAGAAGGCUGUUAGAAUUAAAUUUCCUAACCUUUAUUAUGACUGCAGUGCCAGGCUGAUAAAGUGAUUUUUCCCUAGCUGAUGGAAAAAGUGCAGCCCAUUCAAGACUUACUCUGGUCUUACUGAGGAUGAAGGCAUGAGAGAGACUCUGGAAUUAAGUAAAAGUAUUAUCAAGGAGUCCAGAGGAGCAAGGAAAUUAAUAUUCAUCAGUUAGGCAUAAACACUGAAUUUUAGGAAAGCAGAUUUCAAAGACUUUGAAGAAAAUAUAGCCUCUUGGUUACAGACUGCAAAUGUGAAUGUGGAUCAUUAUGGAGGAAAGGAUCUAAAAGAAAAUCAAAUUCUGACAGCACACCAUACAUGAUUACGUUAAGGAAGAAAAGGAAGGAGUUGAUGUCCAAAGACAUCUUUGCUGCUGUUUGGAGUGGUUUCUUGAAAAGGGGACGUGUAGAAAAUAGGGAAGCCAGAAUAUACUCAAUACAAUUAUCAAAGAGCAUCAUGUAUCAGGAAAGGCUGAAGUCAAAGGCAACAGAAACAACUUUCCCUUCUGCUUGGAGGAAACACAGAAAGGAAUCAGGCCCUGUGAUCAGAGCAGAUGAUGUGAAGUUAUCUGUACACGUGGUGACCUAAAACAACAACCACUUUAUUGGUGCUCACUGAUGAUGGCUCAAGAAUGUGGACAGGGCACAGCAGGGUGGCUUCUUUCUGCUCUGAGAUGUUUGGGGCCUCAGCUGGGAAGACGUGAAUGGCUGCUGGUGAUUCAAACAGCUUGGGGCUGAAAGCAUCUGGAAGUAUCCUCAGUCGCAUGUCUGGCACAUGGGCUCAGCUGGGGCAGCCCCCUGAGCACUGACAUGUGGCAUCUCUGAUCAGCUGAGCUUCUUACAGCCUGGGGCCCGGUCCAUGAAGAAGCAUCCAGAGAGAGAACAUUCCAAGAGGACCUGGGGAAGCUACACAGCCUUUUCCGAUCUGGUCACAAAGCAUCAUUUUACUCUGUUGGCUGAAACAGUUACAAGACAUCCCAGAUUCAAGGGAAGAGGACCUACCCACCAUCUCUCAAUGAACAAAGUGUCAAAAAAGUUAGGAGCAUUUAAAAAAAUAUAUACAUUUGACAGCUCUCCAAAUCUAUUGAGCCUUAUAAUAUGAAAAUUAUUUUAAGGUUUUUGUUAAGGUUUUGUUCAGACAGAAAAAGCAUGAAUGAGCACACAUAAGAGUUACAUAUUAAUGUUCAACCCAUAUGGAGGUUUUGUUUUAGUCUACCAGUUUUGGAGGCAUAUUUAAAGAUGAGUAGAAUAUUUGAAAGCAUUGUAUUUGAUGGGUUGAGUAUACUACAGUGGCAUGUGAUAUUAAAAGCCCUAAUGCGCCAUACAUACAAUUUCUUUAAUUCAUUCAUGCCUUCUCAUAAGUGGUUGGUUCUCAAUCAUGAAGCUCACCACACAUGUGGAAUUACUCUUGGAACCGGAAGCUCCAGAUAAGGGCGGUGUUACAGGUGGAGGAAAUGCACUUUCUGUCCCAGGAGCCAGCUGAGGGCUUCUGGCACCGAGGCCUCUCAGAAACACUCAGAAGCUCUCCAGACUAAUUCUGUGGGAAGGAAGAUGUCACAAGCAACAGAAAGCACCUUCACAUCAUGAGUAGUUCAUGAUAAGGCAAUCAAAAACAUAAAAUGCAGGAAGAAGGUUAAGGAUUCAGGGGAGGGUCUCCACAUGGUGCUUCAAUAGGAAGCGGCAACAUUGGUAAAGCAAAAACAAAGACAUUUAAAAAACCCUUAAAGCUAAAUUCUUAUCUAAAUCAUCUAAGCUGGAUUUCAUGUUUUUUUUUCCUUUGGUCAUCAUAUGAUAUUACUGUUUAGAACCCUUGUCCUCAGGGCCACUGUGAACACCAGCACCGUGUCCCAAAGCAGCAUCAGUGUGUGUGAUGGUUUUCAAAGAUGAGCUCCAAGAGGCUAUGCAUCUGCCUGUUGGUUCUGUGAACAGCCAUAUCAUCUCAUGUUAUGGAUAAAGUGAACAUUCCUGUGGUCAGGAUUCUCACCUGGCCCUGGUCGGCUGGCUCACCACACACGUGGGAGCAAUAUAUUGUUAUUGCCUCUAUGUAAAGAGCCCUACCUAGAGCUCUGGGCGACACCAUGGCAUGGCUGCAAGGCUGCAGGAGAGCAGAGACUAGAG